rnacentral:ncRNA from 2 species
AAUAUUUGCUAGGGGUGCUUUAGGCUGAGAGAUGAUAAAUCAUUAACCCUUUGACCUGAACUGGGUAAUGCCAGCGUAGGAAAGCUGAAAUUAGAGUAG